rnacentral:rRNA from 1 species
UACGGAGGAUCCAAGCGUUAUCCGGAAUCAUUGGGUUUAAAGGGUCCGUAGGCGGCCUUAUAAGUCAGUGGUGAAAUCUCCUAGCUCAACUAGGAAACUGCCAUUGAUACUGUAGGGCUUGAAUUAUUAUGAAGUAACUAGAAUAUGUAGUGUAGCGGUGAAAUGCUUAGAUAUUACAUGGAAUACCAAUUGCGAAGGCAGGUUACUAAUAAUUGAUUGACGCUGAUGGACGAAAGCGUGGGUAGCGAAC